GCCAAACCAGCAAGAAGAGAGAGAAAACAAAAACCAAAUCCUAGAGAGAGAAAAUCAAAGAAAAAGUGUGAAUUUUCAAGGAAAUUAAGUGAAAAAGGUGAGAUUUUUUCUAUUAAGCUUGAGUUUUCUUAUUCCCAAGCAUUUCUCUUUAUUUUCCAUGAUUAAAUUACAUGUUUUCAUGAUGAAUUCAAUUCUGAAAAAAUGGGUUAGGAGAGAGAAAGUUGUUGGAUUUAUUUGAUUUUAAUUUAUGUUAGUGUUUUUAGUUAGUUUAGCAUAUUUAGAAACAAAACAACAAGAAAAGAAUUUAUUUUCUCCCCCAACCAUUAAUGGCUGAAUUUACCAUGUAGUGAGUGAGGAUGAGUUUGAUUUUAUUCUAGGAGAAUUGGUUAAGGAAUAAUGAAUUAUGAGCCUAGAAAAAUAAUGNNNNNNNNNNNNNNNNNNNNNNNNNNNNNNNNNNNNNNNNNNNNNNNNNNNNNNNNNAUUAUGAAAUCAUGGUUUUUGAUAUGGAAAUUAAUGAAUUAUGGAAAGAAAAUCAAGUAGGAAAAAUUGUGACAAUGAUGCACCAUUUUGGCCGAAUUUUUCCAAGAAGGAAUAUGAAUGUGGCUUUGCUGAUUUUUGGGUUAUUUGGCUGGACAUUGGUGAUUUGAAGCAUUAGAAAAAGAAAUGGGAUCAAUUGGAGCUAAAUUGGAUGUGUAUUUCAAUUUAUCGGGUAAAAGACCGAAAUAGGUUAAUACAGUGUUUAGGCAAAAUUUAGACCUUUUGCAUUCCAUAUCAUGCAUUAGUAGUCUAAAUUUGUUUAAUUUCAAUUUAGUACCAAUGUGGUGAAUUUCUUGAUUUUGUAUUGUGUCAAGGUGGUGAGUCCUCCGAUAAAGGCAAGGGAAUUGCAUCCGAAGACCAGUAGUCUGAGUAUUUCGAAAAUCCCCACUCUAGACAUUGUGAGUAACCUUAUCAUCAUUUUAAUUAUCUAAAGUAUGUUUUAACUCGGUUUUGGUGAAAUUUAUAUGAAAAUGAGUUAAAUGGCUAAGUUUAGGUUUUGCAAACAAAAAUGUGUUUAAAUGAAAAGAUUUUAUAAAUUGUCUUGAAACGAAAUAACGAUUUUGAAAAUAGAGUAAUUAGAGACCACUGGUAUGUUGCAAAUUUAUGAUUGGAAAUUGAUGGCUUAUGUUAUAUUGUUCAUGACUGGUUGGGCUGUAUUUUAUGAAUUGUAUGAAUUAUUUUAUUUUACCCUUGCAAGCUGGGUAGUAUUAUAUUAGCCCUGUCAUGUUGUUAAAAUUUUAUUGUAUGGUGGGUUUAGCUUGCUGCAGUAGGCGAGUUUUGUGGACCAGCCUAUUAGAGGGGUACAAAAUCUAGAUAUAUAUAUAUGUACCUCAGUUGGAGAGGCGCGUAGGGUAUCUCUUGAGGUAUGGUUAGAGUUCACGUCACACCGAACCACCUCAUGACGAUGAACUCUGCUAACGCCAAGGAAUGACUGUAUUUUUCAAACUAAAAAUAUGUUUUACGAGUAUACAAAAUUUUAACAGCCUUGGCGGGCUCAAGUGUAUGCCUCUGAUCAAGGUGUCAUCCAGUAUAUUUGAUGGCAUGAGCCAACUGUUUAUGAAAGUCAUAAGCCCUAAUGAGAAAUUAAAUGAAAUACAACCGUUUGCAUGGGUUGGAAUGAAUUUUCAAAUUGUUAAAUACUUAAAAUAAUGGGAUAUUUUAAUUGUCUCAUUUUACUCGGCUUUAGCUUAUUUAAAUGGUGUUUGUUUACUCACUAGGAUUUUAUAAUCUCACCACCCUCCUUUCCACCCAUUUCAGGAUCAGAGUAGUCUGUAAAUAGCUGGUUCCAUCGGGGAUUUCCAUUGGAUUGCGUUUUCCAAACUGUAAGUUCACAGCUUCUUUAAUUCUAAUUAUUAUGGGCCCACUUGAUUAUUGUAAAUUUAAUAGUUUAUUUUGCUACAAUAUGAUGAAUUUAUUUUGUUUUUACGUUACAAAAAGUAUUUACG
rnacentral:lncRNA from 1 species